GAUGAACGCUGGCGGCGUGCCUAAUACAUGCAAGUCGAGCGAACAGACGAGGAGCUUGCUCCUCUGACGUUAGCAGCGGACGGGUGAGUAACACGUGGAUAACCUACCUAUAAGACUGGGAUAACUUCGGGAAACCGGAUCUAAUACCGGAUAAUAUAUUGAACCGCAUGGUUCAAUAGUGAAAGACGGUUUUGCUGUCACUUAUAGAUGGAUCCGCGCCGCAUUAGCUAGUUGGUAAGGUAACGGCUUACCAAGGCAACGAUGCGUAGCCGACCUGAGAGGGUGAUCGGCCACACUGGAACUGAGACACGGUCCAGACUCCUACGGGAGGCAGCAGUAGGGAAUCUUCCGCAAUGGGCGAAAGCCUGACGGAGCAACGCCGCGUGAGUGAUGAAGGUCUUCGGAUCGUAAAACUCUGUUAUUAGGGAAGAACAAAUGUGUAAGUAACUAUGCACGUCUUGACGGUACCUAAUCAGAAAGCCACGGCUAACUACGUG
rnacentral:rRNA from 1 species